rnacentral:rRNA from 1 species
AGAGAAAAGAUUUAUCGCCUUAAGAGGGGGGUGCGGAUCAACAGUUAGUUGGUGAGGUAAAUGCUCACCAAGACGAUGACGGAUAGCCGGCCUGAGAGGGUGAUCGGCCGCAACGGGACUGAGACACGGCCCGUACUCCUACGGGAGGCAGCAGUGAGGAAUUUUGGACAAUGGAGGAAACUCUGAUCCAGCUAUUCUGCGUGAAGGAUGAAGCUCUUCGGAGUGUAAACUUCUUUUCUGGGGGAAGACGAAUGACGGUACCUCAAGAAUAAGAGGCGGCUAACUAUGUGCCAGCAGCCGCGGUAAUACAUAGGCCUCAAAUGUUACCCGGAGUUACUGGGCGUAAAGGGUCCGUAGCCGGAUAUGUAAGUCUAUCUUCAAAAACUGAAGCUUAACUUCAGGGAGGGGGUAGAUACUGUAUAUCUAGAGAUAGAAGGGGGUUAGUGGAAUUUCCGGUGGAGCGGUGGAAUGUGUUGAUAUCGGGAAGAACGCCAAAAGUGAAGACAGCUAACUACUACUAAUCUGACGGUGAGUGACGAAAGCAUAGGUAUCAAAUAGGAUUAGAUACCCUAGUAGUCUAUGCUGUAAAUGAUGUAUGCUAAGUAUUGG